UCGAGAGAUGAUCCUGAAACGCUCGAUGUUUACAUUUUUUUUUCUCCAUAUCUUCCUGUUUUUCAAAAAUAAAAAGACAACCCCACUUACACAUAGCAAAAUCUCGCCUCCUAAUCAUUUACCAUCGUGAUGAAUAAGAAAUGUUUUCAUUAUGAGUGUAAAAUACUCGGUAAAUGAUUUGUGAUGAAAGCAAUUAUAUUUUUUUCCACUCGAUUCGAUUAAGGUUAGGUAGUUCACAUUCGAAACAAAUCAAGCUGUCGGGAGUUUUUACCCUUGGGAUUAGUUCAGUCUGGCCAAACUCACGAUUAGUUUCAAUUAUUAUAUCAAUCUGUCAACAUCUGUAGAUACGAUUCGAAGAAACAUUAUUAUACAUUAUUAUUAAUAAUUUUCAGAAGUUACAUUGAUAGCUUUGUGGUGUAUACAGAAAAGAGUUUUAAUAAGACUGAAUACGUACGCGAAUGGUAAAACUAUUUGUGUAGGAGCUGAGAACAAAGUGCACAGCAGUUUGAAUUGAAUUGCUAUUUCCUUCAAAUAAUACGACAUGAAGCGGAAAGCACAGAUCAGAUUGGGAUGACGGUAGAAGAGAAACGAUAGUGAUAUCCAUCGAAAAACGAAUCCAGCUCGUCAUCUUUCAAAACAAACGCCUACCCACAUAAAACCGAUUCUCGAGCUCGGCACAAUGAAAUUUUAAAGUAAAAUUCUGAUAUCCAGACAUAGCGAAUUUUGUGGCCGAUGUUGAGCAUUAUAUAUUUCUGAACUUGUUAGUAAACAACAAAUAUACCGAAAUCAACCAAUGCGCGAAGAUUUCGAGCAGUAUGUUUGCUUUUACUAAAAUUACGGCGAGACACUUGUCAUCUAAUGUCAUCAGCCGAUUUUACAUACCACAACGUAGUCAUUUCUCGUGUAGCUAGAAAAUGUAUACGAGGCGAAGGAGGAGAUUUAUAUUUCGCGUGAAAAGAUAAGUGGUAUGAAAAACUACUUUUCAUAUAUGCUUUUAAAUAUUAGUUUAUUUUCAGGUAGAGACGUUAAGAAACCCAAUAAACAAAUCUAUAGUCCCAUGACAAAAGGGCCUAAAUGCAAAUGAGAGCUUCUCUUUUCAUUAUUAAGUAGCCAUUACCGUAAUUGAAAGUUUCCAAUAUAAAUCGAAAGCUUGUGGUUUUAUCUUGAAAGUUAUGCAGAGUGAGGCGUCAAAUAUAAAAUCAACCUGGUAAAUCAUGAAAGAAAAAGUAACUGUCAUUUGCAAAUUUAAGAAACACUUUUAUUUGAAAGAAUUAUUACAGGAAGUCGUCCGAAACUGUUCGGUGCGUAGUAAUUGAUCACAUAAAUCAAUACACUUUAGAAGGUCUGGAAA